UACGUAGGGUGCGAGCGUUGUCCGGAAUUAUUGGGCGUAAAGGGCUCGUAGGCGGUUUGUCGCGUCGGGAGUGAAAUCCACUGGCUUAACUGGGGGCUUGCUUUCGAUACGGGCAGACUGGAGGUCUGCAGGGGAGAACGGAAUUCCUGGUGUAGCGGUGAAAUGCGCAGAUAUCAGGAGGAACACCGGUGGCGAAGGCGGGUCUCUGGGCCGAUACUGACACUGAGGAGCGAAAGCGUGGGGAGCGAACAGG
rnacentral:rRNA from 1 species